AUUGAACGCUGGCGGCAGGCCUAACACAUGCAAGUCGAGCGAGCGGCGGACGGGUGAGUAAUGUAUGGGGAUCUGCCUGAUCGAGGGGGCUAACUACUGGAAACGGUGGCUAAUACCGCAUACUCUCGGAUGAGCCCAUAUGGGAUUAGCUAGUAGGUGGGGUAAAGGCUCACCAAGGCGACGAUCCCUAGCUGGUCUGAGAGGAUGACCAGCCACACUGGGACUGAGACACGGCCCAGACUCCUACGGGAGGCAGCAGUGGGGAAUAUUGCACAAUGGGCGCAAGCCUGAUGCAGCCAUGCCGCGUGUAUGAAGAAGGCCUUAGGGUUGUAAAGUACUUUCAGCGGGGAGGCGUUACCCGCAGAAGAAGCACCGGCUAACUCCGUGCCAGCAGCCGCGGUAAUAC
rnacentral:rRNA from 1 species